AGCCCUGAGGUGUUUGACAUAUAAGAUUGCAAAUCUUAAGGAGCAGAAGAAGACGUCUGCCGGGGCUU
rnacentral:tRNA from 1 species